rnacentral:rRNA from 1 species
UAUUGGACAAUGGGGGCAAACCUGAUCCAGCGACGCCGCGUGAGUGAAGAAGUAUCUCGGUAUGUAAAGCUCUAUCAGCAUGGAAGAAAGAAAUGACGGUACCUGAGAAAGAACCCCCGGCUAACUACGUGCCAGCAGCCGCCGUAAUACGGAGGGGGCAAGCGUUAUCCGGAAUUACUGGGUGUAAAGGGAGCGUAGACGGUGAUGUAAGUCUGGAGUGAAAGGCGGGGGCCCAACCCCCGGACUGCUCUGGAAACUAUGUGACUGGAGUGCAGGAGAGGUGAGCGGAAUUCCUAGUGUAGCGGUGAAAUGCGUAGAUAUUAGGAGGAACACCAGUGGCGAAGGCGGCUCACUGGACUGUAACUGACGUUGAGGCUCGAAAGCGUGGGGAGCAAACAGG